GUGGGGAAUCUUGCGCAAUGGGCGAAAGCCUGACGCAGCCAUGCCGCGUGAAUGAUGAAGGUCUUAGGAUUGUAAAAUUCUUUCACCGGGGACGAUAAUGACGGUACCCGGAGAAGAAGCCCCGGCUAACUUCGUGCCAGCAGCCGCGGUAAUACGAAGGGGGCUAGCGUUGCUCGGAAUUACUGGGCGUAAAGGGCGCGUAGGCGGACAGUUUAGUCAGAGGUGAAAGCCCAGGGCUCAACCUUGGAAUUGCCUUUGAUACUGGCUGUCUUGAGUACGGGAGAGGUGAGUGGAACUCCGAGUGUAGAGGUGAAAUUCGUAGAUAUUCGGAGGAACACCAGUGGCGAAGGCGGCUCACUGGCUCGAUACUGACGCUGAGGUGCGAAAGCGUGGGGAGCAAACAGGAUUAGAUACCCCGGUAGUCC
rnacentral:rRNA from 1 species